UACGUAGGGUGCGAGCGUUGUCCGGAAUUACUGGGCGUAAAGAGCUCGUAGGUGGUUUGUCGCGUUGUUCGUGAAAUUCCCUGGCUUAACUGGGGGGCGUGCGGGCGAUACGGGCAGACUGGAGUACUGCAGGGGAGACUGGAAUUCCUGGUGUAGCGGUGAAAUGCGCAGAUAUCAGGAGGAACACCGGUGGCGAAGGCGGGUCUCUGGGCCGAUACUGACGCUGAGGAGCGAAAGCGUGGGGGAGCGAACAGG
rnacentral:rRNA from 1 species